GACGAACGCUGGCGGCGUGCCUAAUACAUGCAAGUAGAACGCUGAAGCGAGGAGCUUGCUCUUCUUGGAUGAGUUGCGAACGGGUGAGUAACGCGUAGGUAACCUGCCUUGUAGCGGGGGAUAACUAUUGGAAACGAUAGCUAAUACCGCAUAACAAUGGAUGACACAUGUCAUUUAUUUGAAAGGGGCAAUUGCUCCACUACAAGAUGGACCUGCGUUGUAUUAGCUAGUAGGUGAGGUAACGGCUCACCUAGGCGACGAUACAUAGCCGACCUGAGAGGGUGAUCGGCCACACUGGGACUGAGACACGGCCCAGACUCCUACGGGAGGCGGCAGUAGGGAAUCUUCGGCAAUGGGGGCAACCCUGACCGAGCAACGCCGCGUGAGUGAAGAAGGUUUUCGGAUCGUAAAGCUCUGUUGUAAGUCAAGAACGAGUGUGAGAGUGGAAAGUUCACACUGUGACGGUAGCUUACCAGAAAGGGACGGCUAACUACGUG
rnacentral:rRNA from 1 species